ACGUAUUUCUCUCUCACCACUCAGCCGCAGGUUUCCCUGUCACACACACGUGCGAUCCCUCACCACACGUGUGUAAUUCUUUUAUAUAUGUUAUAUACUGUAUAUAAUUUUUUGUCAAACUAGUUCUCUAUGGACAGCUUUCGUGAUAGAAUUAUAGAGAGAAAAUCGAGAUGACGCAAGCGGUGAGGAAAGGAGCAGAAGAGGGCGUGAUACGAGGACACGUGUCUCAUGUUAGUACAAACAAAGAUUGGACAAGAGCCGGACGGCACGGUGACCUCUGUCAACAACUGUUACCGUUUCUUCUAAUCUAUUUGUUAAUCUCCUAAGUAAUGUAAUUAAUUAGUUUUCACUGUUCAUAAUUAAUCAAGUAAUAAUAACAUAAGAAAUGAAAUGGGAGCGUUACUUGUAUACC